GAGAAUGUGAAAUAACCGCAAGAAAAUGAUGGGCAGCAAACUAGGUAAACAUUUUGUUGGAUUGAAAAAUCAGGGAGCCACAAGUUAUCUGAACACAUUACUUCAAACAUGGUUCAUGACCCAGGAAGUUAGAGAAUGCAUUGCCAGUAGGAUUGAGAAUUGCAUAAUGACUCAACUGUUUCCUGUGGCAGAGAAUUCCACAGAUUCACCACUCUGUGAAGAAGUUUUUCCUAAUCUCGGUCCUAAAUGGCUUCCCCUCUAUCCUCAAACUGUGACCCCUCGUUCUGGACUUCCCUAACAUCGGGAACAAUCUUCCAGCAUCUAGCCUGUCCAAUCCCUUUAGGAUCUUAUACGUUUCAAUCAGAUCCCCCCUCAAUCUUCUAAAUUCCAACGAGUACAAGCCCAGUUCAUCCAGUCUUUCUUCAUAUGAAAGUCCUGCCAUCCCAGGAAUCAAUCUGGUGAAUAGAGGGAUAUUAGCCGAACAAAGGCAAAUGGAACUAGCUUAGAUGUGAAUCUUGGUCAACACAGACCAGUUAGGCCAAAGAUGCCAUUUCUACACUGGAGGACACUGUGUUUUGGGGAAAAUAUAUAUCCAGAUUGAUAAAAGUUUUAGAACUUAAAAAUUGGUGAUGAGCAUUUAUUUGGAAUGGGGAAUGCAACCCAUAUAACCGCAGGUAAGGGAUUACCAGAGGAAGGAAUGCAAUGAUGAUGUUUGGAAGUUCAGUACUUUAUUCAAGACUUAAGACAAGGACAGAACAUGUUGGAAAUAAUCAGCAUCUCAGGGUGGUCCUAUUGGUGGACAAAUGGGAGUUCAUGGUUUACAGCAGAAGUAGUUACUAUUGCUUAUUGAUUAUUCAGUCAUGAUUGAUUAACUCAAUUCUAAAAAUAACAGGAGGGUCAGGAAAGUAACAUCUAUUCUGCAGGUACAGGGACAUUUCAAAAUUAAAAUGUAUAUCAAAUUGAUAUUUGUGUUGGGCACAUCAUUGGGGAAAAAGUUCUGAGUUCAAUGAUUUUUCGGAAGACUGGGAAAAUCAACACUGUGAAUUUGUAAAGGGAAAAUCAUAUUAAAAUAAUUGGUUAUUUUUAUCAAAUGGGUAACACAUAAUGUGGGUCAAAGUAAAUUUAUGACCAAUAUAUAUGCUUGUCACCAUAUACAACUCUGAUCCAUUUUCUUACAGGUAUACUCAAUAAAUUCAGUAACCAUCAUACUUUCAAUUAAAGACUGCACCCAACGAGGCAGACAACCAAUGUGCAAAAGGCACCAACCUUGUAAAUACAAAAGAAAAAUACAAAAUCAGGAAAAAAAUCUGAUAAAUAUGGAGUCCUUGAGAGUGAUUCAAGAGGUUGUGGGAACAGUUCAGUGAUGGGCAAGUGAAGUUGAGUGAAGUUAUCCUCUGGUUCAAGCGCUGAUGGUUGAAGGGUAAUAACUGUUCCUGAACAUGGCUGUGUGAGUCCUUGCGUUCCUGUAUCUUCCUGAUGGCGACAGGAGCAGAGAGCAUGUCCUGGGUGGUGGGGGUUCCUGAUGAUGGAUGCAGGUUCCCUGCGACAGAACUCCAUGUAGAUGUGCUCACUGGCAAGGAGGGCUUUACCUGUGAUAGACUGGGCUGUAUCCACUACUCUGUUAUCGGAUUCUCAGUGCAAUGGCAUUGGUGUUUCCAUACCAGACCAUGAUGCAGCCAGUCAAUAAGCUUGCCACUACACAGCUACAGAGGUUGGCUGGAGUUUUAGAUGUCAUCCUCAAUCUUCUUAGAGGUGCUGCCGUGCUUUCUUCAUAAUUGCACUGAAAUGCUGGGCCCAGGACAGGUGUCCUCGGAAAUGAUAGCACUGCGGAGUUUAAAGUUGCUGACCCUCUCAGAGGUUUUAAGCAAUGUAAAAUUUAACAGUUUCAGAUUAUUUGCAGCUGCAAAGAAGAAGAUUCAUUAAUUUGCGAGUUGCGAUGUCCGUUUGAACGAUUAUCAGAUGAGAAUGAAUGGUCCUUGAGCACAGAACAGUUGACCUCCCAAUUGAAUUUGAAUGUUUACGAACAGAGAAAUAUAGAAGAAUGUUUUCACAGUCUGGUGAACAAGCUGAAUAGCAAAAUGGAUCAGGAGCAUAAUCUUCUGAAGAUCCUCCUUGAUGGUAGCAGUGAGAAGAGGGCAUGUCCUGGCUGAUGGAGGUCCUCAGUGAUGGCUGCCACCUUUUUGAGGAAGGCCUUUUGAAGAUGUCCUCAGUACUGGGAAGAUGCUGCCUGGCCUGGUGAGUUCCUCCAGCAUUUUGUGUGUUUUGCUUGGCAUCAGUUGAAAAUGAGAAGGAAAAGAUUUAAAGGGGACUUGAGAGUUAAGUUUUUCACAGAGGUUUUUGGGUACGUGGAACCAGCUGCAAGAUGAAGUGGUAGAGAAGUGGUUUGCCAUUGCCUUCUUCAGGGUGGUGUCUUUACAGCCAAUAUCAACGUUCUUCAGAAAUUGU